rnacentral:lncRNA from 1 species
CCCACUCCGAAGCCCGCGGCGGCCCCCACCUGUUCACCCUGCUGUGCAGCGCUGUCACAGUCUUCCUGUUGGCUCUGCUGCUGCUGGGAGUCCUUCGCAUCAGGAAACACGCAGUUUCCUCGAAGUCAGCAGCUGCAGCGUCAAGCUCAGACGAGGACGCUCAGAACGGUGAGCAGUGCAUCCUUCACCACCGGAUUACAGAUUCAUACACGUCACUAUUUUAACUUAUGACCAAAGGAUUAGGACUGAAUGUUCUCGUUAACGUGCUUCAUGUGUCGGUCUGUGCAGAGGACGGUGACCUGGACACAGUGACGUACGCCAUCAUCACUAAACCCAGACAGAACGAAGGAUGCGGAUCAUCCUCGGUGAGUCGCAGCGCAGAGAUAGACUGCAGGUCCACAGAGCAGGAGGUUGUGUACGCCUUGGUGCAGAAGGCUACACAGAGACACCUGGCUGCACCAGACUCUGUGCUAAUAUGAGAAGAAGAAACAGAUAGAUACUGUUUAUGCAGCUUUCAGUUGAACUUAGUUGUGUAUUUUUAAAGCCACCCAUUUCAUCUUAUAAUAGAAUUUCACUUUCACUGACAAUGUCAUGAAGCACAAACAUGUUUUCAUUUUUUCCUGCAGCUACAUCAAACCUUUUAUAUUUCAAGAUGUUGCAUUUUUAUUUGCUGUUUGCUCUGUAACAAAACUAAUGUACCAUAUGUUACAUUCAUAAAUGAAGCAGGCAGGUGAGGUGGAAUCAUUUGUGAGCUGAAUUAAAGUUAUUUGCUUUUUUUUUCAUUCCUGUGAAAAGUUUGCAUUGCUAAAAUGUGUUUCUAUACAGUGGACCAUAAAACACCAUAACAUGCACCUCCUGCACAUCCUGUACGU